rnacentral:rRNA from 1 species
CAUCGGAGGCCCCUCAACAACCUUGCCCUUUGUGAAUUUUGUAAAAUUUCACUUGUUUAUCAAAAACAUUGUCUCCAGAAAUCGGGGAGGAUCAACCCUGGCUCAGUGCAGAUUAAACAUGCCUUUUUUAGCUAAGGUAGCAUAAUAAUUUGUCUCCUAAUUAGAGGCUAGAAUGAAAGGUAAAACGAAAUAAAGACUUUCUUAAUUAUUAAAAUUAAAUUUUUCCUUUAAGUUAAAAGACUUAAAUAAACUUAAAGGACGACAAGACCCUAUAGAACUUAAAAUUUUUUAAAAAUAAAAAAAAGAAAAAAUUUUACUGGGGAAGUAAAAAAACAAAAAUUUUUUUUAAAUAAAACUAUUAAAAGAAAAAAAGAUCCUUAAUAAAGAAAAAAGAAAAAGUUACCUUAGGGAUAACAGAGUUAAAUUUUUUGAGAGACCAAAUCGAAAAAAAAUCUUGCUACCUCGAUGGUGAAUUAAGAUAUAUAUUAAUAGACAAGAAAAUUAAUAAAUUAGGUCUGUUCGACCUUAAAAUCUUACGUGAUCUGAGUUCAAACCGGAUGGAUACGAAUCCGAUGGUGCCACGCUUUAC